UACCAGCACCCCGAGUGGUCGGGACGUUUAUUGGGCCUAAAGCAUCCGUAGCCGGUUCUACAAGUCUUCCGUUAAAUCCACCUGCUUAACAGAUGGGCUGCGGAAGAUACUAUGGAGCUAGGAGGCGGGAGAGGCAAGCGGUACUCGAUGGGUAGGGGUAAAAUCCGUUGAUCCAUUGAAGACCACCAGUGGCGAAGGCGGGUCUCUGGACAGUUCCUGACGCCGAGGCACGAAGGUCAGGGGAGCAAACGGG
rnacentral:rRNA from 1 species